UACGUAGGGGGCUAGCGUUGUCCGGAAUCAUUGGGCGUAAAGCGCGUGUAGGCGGUUCGGUAAGUCCGCUGUGAAAGUCGGGGGCUCAACCCUCGAAUGCCGGUGGAUACUGUCGGACUAGAGUACGGAAGAGGCGAGUGGAAUUCCUGGUGUAGCGGUGAAAUGCGCAGAUAUCAGGAGGAACACCAAUGGCGAAGGCAGCACUCUGGGACGUGACUGACGCUGAGACGCGAAAGCGUGGGGAGCAAACAGG
rnacentral:rRNA from 1 species